ACAUAUUACAAGAUAGUUAAAUGUUAAAAAUGAUAGAUUUUUCCUUCUUUGUUUGAUUGGUAUUGGUUGGUAGUAUAAACACAUAGAAUUCACACACUUAAAAAUAAUGACAUGGUAUUUUCAUGAUGUAAUUGAUAAUUGAUAUUUUAAUCAGAUUUCUUAGCUUAAAUUAAUUGUCAUUAACCUCAAUGUGACAGAAGUUAAGCAUAUUUCUGCAUGAGUGCCAAUUUAAAUGAUGGAGGCUAUUAAGUGGUGGAGUUCUAAUCACACUAAUACCUCCUUUCCACAAUAUGAAUCAGCUAAGCUCUCUCUGAAGUCAAAGACCAAAGCGCCUCCAAUCAAAUUUUAAUGAGGAACACGCGGGCAGACUGAGACUUGCUGGAGAAUGGGCAACAGUUCAAAGAAACACUCAGAUAACAUCAUAUUUCGUCAUGAGGACAUUUCAAGCUACAAGCUUUCUGAAAUGUGUCACUUUUUCCUGGAGGCAUAGACUAAUAAAGGUUUUUGCAGCUGAUGAGCAUAAUAAGACACUGGGAUCAGUUGACAACACCUGAAAAAUUUAAAAUGUCAAGUUAAUUAGAAUGAGCAGAUUUGUGAUGCAUCUAGCCCUUACAAAAAAGAAGUCAAGUUAAAUUUAUUAAGUAAACUUAUUUCAAGAUAUACGUUUUAUAGUAAGCAUACCAACAUCAGUGUACUUAGUAGAUGUGUGCCAGAUGGGCCAGAUUCACUAAAUAGCCAAAUUAGCAUAGGGUAGCAAACCAGUAGAGCCGUUCUUUGACUGUUAAAUAAGCGGUGCGUUUUUGGGUGUUAAAUAAUGGUACAGAUGCCAGUAAAUCGACCUUCCAUAAACUUUGCAUCUAAAAGGGAAACUCCUAAAAAUGCAUAUGCAAUAAAUUCAGCUGCAAAAAUUACUGUGUCCACACUUAUUUUAGUAAAAACCUGUCAGUAAAUGCCAAAAAAAAAAAAAGAAAAAAAAAAAAAAACCUUUGCACUGGUGCAAACUUAGUAAAUCUGGCCUUACAAUGUAUAGCAAUACGUGAAAAAAGUAUUUAAAUUAAAAAUGCAUUUAAUAGGCUAUUCAAUCAAAAGAGUAAACACAACUACAAGUAAAGUAUGCUUGUGGGAUACUGGUAAAUAUGUGUACACAAUAACUGCAUUGUACAAAAUUAUUAAUUUAAAUGUAAACACAUAGUAGUUAAUGCCACGUAAUAUAAAGUGGGACCAAAGACCCUAACAAAAACAAGAA
ensembl:lncRNA